rnacentral:rRNA from 1 species
UGAGGAAUCUUCCACAAUGGGCGAAAGCCUGAUGGAGCAACGCCGCGUGCAGGAUGAAGGCCUUCGGGUCGUAAACUGCUUUUAUAAGUGAAGAAUAUGACGGUAACUUAUGAAUAAGCACCGGCUAACUACGUGCCAGCAGCCGCGGUCAUACGUAGGGUGCAAGCAUUAUCCGGAGUGACUGGGCGUAAAGAGUUGCGUAGGUGGUUUGUUAAGUAAAUAGUGAAAUCUGGGGGCUCAACCUCACAGACUAUUAUUUAAACUGGCAAACUCGAGAAUGGUAGAGGUAACUGGAAUUUCUAGUGUAGGAGUGAAAUCCGUAGAUAUUAGAAGGAACACCAAUGGCGUAGGCAGGUUACUGGACCAUUUCUGACACUGAGGCACGAAAGCGUGGGGAGCGAACC